AGUGAACGCUAGCGGUAGGCCUAACACAUGCAAGUCGAACGGCAGCACAGUAAGAGCUUGCUCUUACGGGUGGCGAGUGGCGGACGGGUGAGGAAUACAUCGGAAUCUACUUUUUCGUGGGGGAUAACGUAGGGAAACUUACGCUAAUACCUCAUACGACCUACGGGUGAAAGCAGGGGAUCUUCGGACCUUGCGCGAUUGAAUGAGCCGAUGUCGGAUUAGCUAGUUGGCGGGGUAAAGGCCCACCAAGGCGACGAUCCGUAGCUGGUCUGAGAGGAUGAUCAGCCACACUGGAACUGAGACACGGUCCAGACUCCUACGGGAGGCAGCAGUGGGGAAUAUUGGACAAUGGGCGCAAGCCUGAUCCAGCCAUACCGCGUGGGUGAAGAAGGCAUUCGGGUUGUAAAGCCCUUUUGUUGGGAAAGAAAAGCAGCAGGUUAAUACCCCGCUGUUCUGACGGUACCCAAAGAAUAAGCACCGGCUAACUUCGUG
rnacentral:rRNA from 1 species